rnacentral:lncRNA from 1 species
UGCCCAUAGGUGGUGAGGUAUGGAAUUGGAGGCUCCCCUGCACAUCAAGGGGUAACUGUUACCCUGAUUGGACUGUCCAGAAAGACCAAGAACUCAUUUGGAUCCUUGACCUUACCCUUCAUUGAGAGUUCUCUUACCUGAAU